CAGCCGGUGCAAGUCCGGCCACGGCAUCACUCCAAGGAUAAAGGCCGUGUAAUGAUACCCGACUCCGGAACCGGGCGACCGAUCCGGGGAAAGCUCGGGUGAAAGAGUCCUCGUCGGCCGGAGGUUGGUCUCCAGGUCGGAUCGGUACAGCAGGACGAGCAACCCUGCGGGCCGUAGCAUGA
rfam:Candidatus Riflebacteria bacterium RBG_13_59_9 RBG_13_scaffold_7956, whole genome shotgun sequence.